rfam:Xenopus laevis telomerase RNA gene, sequence.
AAUCAGCGUUUAAAGCUCAAUGUGGACGGAGGUCUCUGUUUCGCUAACCCUAAUACACUGGCUUCAGGGCGAUGGCUCUUCGCGGCGGUGCCUGUUGUUUUACUUGCUGACUUUCAGCGGGCACGGAGAGCAAGCGUAGACGACGACUAAAAAACGUCAGCUGGGAGACUCCUCCGUUCGCACAGCCCGACCUGCUCCAUUGCCCAAGAGCCCCGGGUUUUCUCUGUGGAAUGUAUCAGGCGCUCCCCGGUCUGUCUGUCUGGGGCCGCGGUCGGCAUCAUCUGCUGUCGCGAAGAGUUCGUCUCUGUUAGCCCUUGGGGGCCCUGGUGCGGAGUGGAGAGUCCGGGUCUGGGGGGUCGGGAGAACAAAAGGGGGCGCGCUGGUGCUCAGGCUCAGUCAUGCUUUCCCUUAGUUGUGGGAUAUGCGUGUUCAGCCAGUCCCCGACAUGU